GUGUGUGUGUGUGUGUGUGUGUGUGUCAGUCUGUUAUUCUUUGUAUGGGGUGUGUGUGUUUGUGUGUGUGUGAGGGGGGAAGAAAAGUGAGUGUGUGUGUGUGUGUGUGUGUGUGUGUGUGUGUGUGUGUUAUGCUUCCUAUGGGGUAUGUGUGUGUUUGUGUGUGCAUGUGAGAGAGAGGGAGAAGGGUAAGGGUGUGUGUGUGUGUGUAGGAGGGACCUAGGUUAACAUUCUAAUCCUCCCUUCCCUUCCCUUAUAUACCUUUCACCCUUAUAGCAGCUCUCGGUAAGUAUGUAUAUCCAGUAACCUCUCACCCUGAAAUGACAAGACCAGACCACCACCAACAACAACAAAUGCCAAGCCUGUAGAAGGGAGGAGACCAGCUGGAAGACCAAAGAAGUCCUGGUGAUGAUGUGUGGAGGAAGACUUGAGGAGGAACAUGAAGGUAUACAUUAUAACACACAGACCCACGGCUACUGCAUGUGGAGCAAGGCCUGACAUGCUUUGCCCCCUCAGUGGCCGUGGCAGAGCUUACAGUUGUGUUUACUUUAUAUUCACUAGCUGGGUCAUCGAGGUAGGAAGGGUGAUGCCAGGAGAGAGAGAGCGAGAGAAGACAGCCUGGGAGAUAAGGUAGCUUGGAAGAGAGAGGAGGGAAGGGAAAAGAUCGGAGAGAUGAAGAAAGGGAGGACAGAGGGAAAGGAGAGGGAGAUAAUGUAACCAGCUGGGUCGUCAAGGUAGGAAGGACGGAGAUGCCAGAAGAGAGAAAGCCUGGGAGAUAAGGGAGCUUGGAAGAGAGAGAAAGAGAGGAGGGAAAAGAGCAGAGAGAAGACAGAGGGAAUGGAGAGGGAGAUAAAGUAACCAGCUGGGUCGUCGAGGUAGGAAGGAUGAAGAUGCUGGGACCCAUGUGGCAUCUUACAGAUUAGCCUAAGUGACAGUGUGGUAUUAUGGUAUGAGUGUAUCUUUCUGUGAUGUCAUUUCUCUCUUGUUCAUCAGCAGCAUCUGUUCAAGUUAGAUCAGUUAAUGUAUGUGUUUAUCUUCUUGUGAUAUUAUUAUUUACCCACUCGGCAGAAGUCCAAGAUAAGUUCAGGAUAAGUUACUGAUGUGUUUAACCUGAUGGUAGCUGCGGGGAUCAUGUUUCUUAAAGGCCCUUCCCUUUAAGCGAGAAAAAUGAGAAAAAAUCAUCACUCACGCAAACCAUUUCAUAAUAUAUAUCGACGCAUUUGUGAUCAGUUUAUGCAUCAUCUGUUUUUGGGGGUUUAUAUCAUGACAAAAAUUUGGCCCAUCGCUGCUACAUGGUAAAGCCACAAAUUUGGCCCGUCGCUGGUACCGGGUUAAAUCAUUCAUGCUCAAGAGAAUAACAACUGGAAGACAGUGUUGAUUAUACGUCAGUCAGGCACCUCAGCACCAAGUAACCGUCUCGCACACCUUAAGUUACAAGUUUUAUUUCUGUACUGAUUUUGUUUCAGUCAAUUUUCACCCCCAAAGACUGCACUCAUCCUUAUCAAUAAUAUAUCAGUGGCUUCAUCAUCAGUUGUAGUUUUAUAUUCACGCCACUGGAUUGAAAGUGUGCGAGAGGGUUAAUGACAUGACCAUUGUAUCAGGGCAUCAUGUUUUUUGUUCAUUUCAUCCAUAUGAGGGACCCUCCAGCUUCAUGGUCAGAGCACAAGCCUCUUCUCAUUGUAAUAGCACAGAACUAAUACAAGUGUAGUGGUGAUAGUAAUAGUAGUAAUAGUGCCUUUAGUAAUCUUCCACACAAGGGUUGAAAAUAAAGGAUAGCUGGUGAAAAUCCUUUAUUAUUAUUUUUACAUAUUUCGCAGCUCGUGUCUGGGUGGUGAGGGCUUCCGGAGCAGUAGUAGUAAUAGUAACACCUGUAGUAGUUUCCCAAGGGUUAAAAAUAAAGAAAUGCUGGUGAAAAUCCUGUUUAUUAUUUUUUUACAUGUUUUCUGUCCCUGUAUAGGUUGUGAGGGAGGCUGGGCAGACGUAACAUUAGCAGCAGUAGUAGUAAUAACACCUGUAGUAUUUUUCCAAGGGUUAAAAAUAAAGAAUAGCUAGUGAAAAUGCUGUUUAUUAUUUUCUUACAUUUUUUGCUGCCCGUGCCUGGGUGGUGAGGGCUUCCGGAGAGGCUGGGCAGGCCUGUGCACACACCAACACUUACAAACACUACAGUAAUGACACACUAACUCACUGCUAACCUUACCGGGCACAGCUGAGGACUAACACUGAUUCACCUUACUCAUGAAUGGGUAACUGCUGUCCUCAUGGGAAGUCUUGGCUAGGAGGAAGGGGAAGAGAGGGAGAGAAGGAAGUAGGGAAUGGAUUAGUUAGGGAGUAGAUUGGAGGGUGUAGAAGGGAGAGACAUGGCUAGGGAGAGGGAGAGACCGGUAAAGGAGAUUUGAGGGUGAGGAAGGGAGAAAGGAAGGAGUGGAGGGUGAAGGAUGGAGAGAAAGGAACAGAACUGGCGAGGGAGAAGAAUGAAAGAUGUAGAAGGGAGAAAGGGUGAAGGAGGAAGAGGAAAGUGGGAGGAGAAUGGAGGGUGAGGAAGGGAGAGUGAAGUAAGGAAGGCAGAGAGAGAGAGAGGGAGAGAUAAAAUGAACUAGGAGGGUGUGAGGGAGAAUAACCCAGAUGAACUGGCAGGGAGAGAGAGAGAGAGAAAGAAGACAGCCUGGGAGAUGAGGUAGCUUGGAAGGGAGAAGGGAGGACAGAGGGAAAGGAGAGGGAGAUAAAGUAACCAGGAAAGGGAGAGAUGGAAGGGAGGAAGGGAGAGGGGGAGGGAGGGAGAAGACAGCCUGGGAGAUGAACUAGCUUGGAAGAGAGAAAGGAUGGGAGGGAAAAGAGUGGAGAAAGGGAGAGAAGGAUAUAUAUACUGAGAGGGAGAGAAGGGAAGUGAGGAAGGGAGAGAAGACAAUCUGGGAGAUGAACUAGCAGGGAGAGGAGCUAACAUCUUACCCUACAGAAAGUAACCCAUCACAAAGAGUUAAAGGUCAAACAGUUUCUGUCCACAGCUUCAUGCACUUGGAAUUACAAAAACAUUAUUAAUCCUAGCAUCAAUAUGGGCACUUGUAGACACAUGCACACACACACACAUAGGGCCAGUCUUACAGUCCUAUACAGCAAGUUUGUAACCUCUCAAACCAAACACGGAAUACUACUACGAAAAUUCCUUGUGCUACAGUGUUUGGCAUUGAUAUAAAAAGAAGGAAACUGUAGAAAAUGCACAGGAAUUCUCUUUAGUAUCUGGUAUUGGGUAGAAGAGCAGAUCAUUGUGAAUAUAGUUUGGUUUGUGUGCUUACAAUGGCUGUGUGGGAUUGUCAGACUGCCCCAUACACAUACACGCACACAUACAGUAUAGUCCGUGAUAUGUAACCCAAGGCAUCCAUGUACAAAAAUGAUACAAGAUACGGCACAUGUAUUUGACAGCUUGGUAAGUACAGUGUAGUUUAGUCCUUUUUGAAUAUGAACUGUAGUACGGGAUUAUCUAACAGACAAGGAGGAAGGGAGUCUUGGAGCAGGGCUGGAUUGACAUGAGGGGGCAUACAGGGAUAUACCACAGCCCUGGGACAACACAAGACUGUAUAGUGUGAUGUCUCAGGGCCUGGAUUGACAAGAGGGGGCAUACAGGGAUAUACCACAGCCCUGGGACAACACAAGACUGUAUAGUGUGAUGUCUCAGGGCCUGGAUUGACAAGAGGGGGCAUAGAGGAAUAUAUCACAGCCCUGAGACUACCACACAAGGCUUUACAAUAUGUGGUGUCCUUGGGCCUGGAUUGACACAAGGGGCUGUACAGGGAAACACCACAGCCCUGGGACUACCACACAAGGCUUUACAAUAUGUGGUGUCUCAGGGCUGUCUGUGUGCCAUGACUCAAUCCAGCUCUGUUGUUUGGGUUGUAACAAUCUAAGUAUAUUCCUUCAUGACACAUUAAAUUCCAUUCAUUAACUCCAUUUCCAUCACUGACGUACUAGGAAAACGGUUACAUCAUUUUAUCAUCCUAAGAAACCUUUAUUAUGUUUGGGAGAAUACAUAAGAUAUUGUUGAAGGAAAGUAACUUCUCUUUGUUACUUUCAAAAACAGAAGCAGCGAGAAAUAUCACACAAAUCAAAUAUAUAGAAGAAAACCGUCCGUAGAAAUAGAUACUUGCAUAUGUCAUUCCUCCAGCAGCCAACACCACACACACACAGAGAUUUAAUUGACCUCAUUGAAAGCCGAGGUUAUUGGUAUUCACCUCAGGGCUGCAUCAACACCAGGCAAGUCAAGACAGGUCCAUUCCCAGCGUCUCCACCGUACACGACCUGCCAUUCAGAGAUUAUUACGUAUAGACUUCCAAGAGUCCGCAUAAGGUCUUGAAUCAGCUGGUUGUGCCUUGCCUAGUGUGGUGCAGCCUUGGGGGUGCUGCGUAUUUACUCAAACUAAAACGAACAGGGAUUUCUUUGGUCAGGGCAGAUACCAGGCCGGAAGAAUUACUCAUUAUAAUCUAAACUGAUUCUUAAAAAGUGUAUAUUGAUGUACAGUGGCCAGUAAUAUUAGCAGGUUGAAAGAAACUGCAUAGAACAGGCAGUCACCAGGUCAGGAUAGGGAGCUGAACCUUGAUUAACUUCCUAUUUGUUUGUUCAGUAAUGCCAACACAAGCCAGGCCAGAAAAUUACACCUUAGAGUAAAUCAUGUUUAUUGCAGUACAGUGUAGCCAUCCGUCCUUUAGUAAUGCCCAGUAAUUAACAAAACUAGGGUAGAACAGGUACUAACAGAUGCUGGGGCAGAAAAUCACACCUUAGUCAUUUCCUAUAUAUUGUAGUCAAGUGGUCUAUCCUUAGCAUUGCCCAGGAGGUGAACAGAACUUAUAACAGGUAUUCCGUCAGUCAGCACAGAGGUGAGGGCAGGAAUAUACGUAUAUAGCUCAGGAUCUUGAGAGGAAACAAAAGAUAGAAAGGGACAGAAAAUUACAGCCCUUAGGAGAGAUAGGAAGAUUUUAUAUAUAUAUAUAUAUAUAUAUAUAUAUAUAUAUAUAUAUAUAUAUAUAUAUAUAUAUAUAUAUAUAUAUAUAUAUAUAUAUAUAUAUAUAUAUAUAUAUAUAUAUAUGAGGAGGGAGUGUGGUCAGUAAUGUACAAUGGCAUCUACUGUUAGUGAGUUAGAGGAUCCCCCAAGCCAGGUAGCAAAGACCAUACAGCUCUACUAAGGGUUAUAUGAAUGCCUUCUCUCCCCAAGCAGCCACCGUGAGCUGGGACCGAACUUGUAAGCCAAGCACAUUUAGCCCCUCAGCCCCCAACUUUUCGGUCUAUCAGAGGUAUUAUUGAAGCUAUGUAACACUCACUUCUUUGGCCAGGGCACAGAAUUCAAGGCAGACAAAUCUUUAAAAGUAAUUUCCUAACUAUUGCAGUGUAUUAAUGUAAUGUCUUCCUUUAGUAAUGUUCAAGAAUAAGAAAUCUUGACAUAGCAGGUAUUAAUAGACAGUACACUCUUUCCUUUGGCCAGGGCACAGAAUUCAGGGCAGGUUUAGAGUAAUUUCCUAAUUUUAUUGCAUUAAUGUGAUUUCUUCCUUUAGUGAUACCCAACAGAGUAAGAAAUCUCGACAUAGCAGUUGUUUAUAGAUAGUACGCUCUUUCCUCUGGCCAGGGCACAGAAUACAGGGCAGACUUAAGAGUAAUUUCCUAACUUAUUGAAUUAAUGUGACUUCUUCCUUUAGUAAUGUCCAGUAGAGUAACAAAGCUAGAACAGGUAUUGGUAAAUAAAAACUCACUCCUUUGACCAGGGCAGACAAACCUUAAUUUCCUAACUGUAUUAAUGUAACUUCUUCCUUUAGUAAUGUCCUUAUAGAGUAACAAAGCUAGAUAGAACAUGUAUUCAU